AUGCCCUGCUGUCUCCUUGCCCUUCUCCUGGGCACUUUCUUAGGUGUCAGAGCUCAGACCAUCCGUCAAUGGCCACUUAUCAGGGUGCAGCCUGCAGGCAGCCCGCUCUCCCUGGAGUGUACUGUGAAGGGGGCAUCAAGCCCCAACCUGUACUGGUACCGGCAGGUGGCAGGAGGGACCCUCCAGCUGCUCUUCUACUCCGUUGGUGUUGGCCAGAUAGACCCUGAGGAGCCCCAGAACUUCGAAGCCUCCAGGCCCCAGGACGACCUGUUCAUCCUGAGUUCUAAGAAGCUCCUGCUCAGUGACUCUGGCUUCUACCUCUGCGCCUGGAGUCUCACACUGAGCUGGGUAGGGCAGACAUCUGUGCAGAAACCCCAGCCUCUCCCAAGUCCUCACCACCUGCUCCAGGAGCCCUCAUUCAGGGGCUGGGCAGAGGACGUUUGUCACCGGCUUUCUGACUGUCAGCCGACGUGA